CCUGGCUCAUGACGAACGCUGGCGGCGCGCCUAACACAUGCAAGUCGAACGAGCGAGAGAGAGCUUGCUUUCUCAAGCGAGUGACGAACGGGUGAGUAACGCGUGAGGAACCUGCCUCAUAGAGGGGGACAACAGUUGGAAACGACUGCUAAUACCGCAUAAGCCCACGGUGCCGCAUGGCACAGAGGGAAAAGGAGCAAUCCGCUUUGAGAUGGCCUCGCGUCCGAUUAGCUAGUUGGUGAGGUAAUGGCCCACCAAGGCGACGAUCGGUAGCCGGACUGAGAGGUUGAACGGCCACAUUGGGACUGAGACACGGCCCAGACUCCUACGGGAGGCAGCAGUGGGGAAUAUUGCACAAUGGGGGAAACCCUGAUGCAGCGACGCCGCGUGGAGGAAGAAGGUCUUCGGAUUGUAAACUCCUGUUGUUGAGGAAGAUAAUGACGGUACUCAACAAGGAAGUGACGGCUAACUACGUGCCAGCAGCCGCGGUAAAACGUAGGUCACAAGCGUUGUCCGGAAUUACUGGGUGUAAAGGGAGCGCAGGCGGGAAGACAAGUUGGAAGUGAAAUCUAUGGGCUCAACCCAUAAACUGCUUUCAAAACUGUUUUUCUUGAGUAGUGCAGAGGUAGGCGGAAUUCCCGGUGUAGCGGUGGAAUGCGUAGAUAUCGGGAGGAACACCAGUGGCGAAGGCGGCCUACUGGGCACCAACUGACGCUGAGGCUCGAAAGUGUGGGUAGCAAACAGGAUUAGAUACCCUGGUAGUCCACACCGUAAACGAUGAUUACUAGGUGUUGGAGGAUUGACCCCUUCAGUGCCGCAGUUAACACAAUAAGUAAUCCACCUGGGGAGUACGACCGCAAGGUUGAAACUCAAAGGAAUUGACGGGGGCCCGCACAAGCAGUGGAGUAUGUGGUUUAAUUCGACGCAACGCGAAGAACCUUACCAAGUCUUGACAUCCUGCGACGGACAUAGAAAUAUGUCUUUCCUUCGGGACGCAGAGACAGGUGGUGCAUGGUUGUCGUCAGCUCGUGUCGUGAGAUGUUGGGUUAAGUCCCGCAACGAGCGCAACCCUUAUGGUCAGUUACUACGCAAGAGGACUCUGGCCAGACUGCCGUUGACAAAACGGAGGAAGGUGGGGAUGACGUCAAAUCAUCAUGCCCUUUAUGACUUGGGCUACACACGUACUACAAUGGCGUUAAACAAAGAGAAGCAAGACCGCGAGGUGGAGCAAAACUCAGAAACAACGUCCCAGUUCGGACUGCAGGCUGCAACUCGCCUGCACGAAGUCGGAAUUGCUAGUAAUCGCAGAUCAGCAUGCUGCGGUGAAUACGUUCCCGGGCCUUGCACACAC
rnacentral:rRNA from 1 species